rnacentral:rRNA from 1 species
UACGUAGGGGGCAAGCGUUGUCCGGAAUUAUUGGGCGUAAAGCGCGCGCAGGCGGUUCGGUAAGUCUGGUGUAUAAGCUCAGGGCUCAACUCUGGGAGGCACUGGAAACUGUCGGACUGGAGUGCAGGAGAGGAAAGUGGAAUUCCACGUGUAGCGGUGAAAUGCGUAGAGAUGUGGAGGAACACCAGUGGCGAAGGCUGACGUUCCUGGCCUGUAACUGACGCUGAGGCGACGAAAGCGUGGGGAGCAAACAGG